AUUGAACGCUGGCGGCAGGCCUAACACAUGCAAGUCGAGCGGAGAGGCGGACGGGUGAGUAAUGCCUAGGAAUCUGCCUGGUAGUGAGGGAUAACGUCCGGAAACGGGCGCUAAUACCGCAUCCUAUCAGAUACGCAUAGGUCGGAUUAGCUAGUUGGUGGGGUAAAGGCCUACCACGGCGACGAUCCAUAACUGGUCUGAGAGGAUGAUCAGUCACACUGGAACUGAGACACGGUCCAGACUCCUACGGGAGGCAGCAGUGGGGAAUAUUGGACAAUGGGCGAAAGCCUGAUCCAGCCAUGCCGCGUGUGUGAAGAAGGUCGUCGGAUUGUAAAGCACUUUAAGUUGGGAGGCGUUACCAACAGAAUAAGCACCGGCUAACUUCGUGCCAGCCGCCGCGGUAAUUC
rnacentral:rRNA from 1 species